rnacentral:rRNA from 1 species
UACAGAGGUCUCAAGCGUUGUCCGGAAUUAUUGGGCGUAAAGAGCUCGUAGGCGGUCUGUUGCGUCCGCUGUGAAAACUCGGGGCUUAACCCCGAGCCUGCAGUGGAUACGGGCAGACUAGAGGUAGGUAGGGGAGAAUGGAAUUCCCGGUGUAGCGGUGAAAUGCGCAGAUAUCGGGAGGAACACCGGUGGCGAAGGCGGUUCUCUGGGCCUUACCUGACGCUGAGGAGCGAAAGCGUGGGGAGCGAACAGG